rnacentral:rRNA from 1 species
CAGCCGCCACGGUAAUACGAGGGGGGCAAGCGUUGUUCGGAAUUAUUGGGCGUAAAGCGUGCGUAGGCGGCUUUUUAAGUCGGAUGUGAAAUCCCUGAGCUUAACUUAGGAAUUGCAUUCGAUACUGGGAAGCUAGAGUAUGGGAGAGGAUGGUAGAAUUCCAGGUGUAGCGGUGAAAUGCGUAGAGAUCUGGAGGAAUACCGAUGGCGAAGGCAGCCAUCUGGCCUAAUACUGACGCUGAGGUACGAAAGCAUGGGGAGCAAACAGGAUUAGAUACCCCAGUAGUCCCUGUCUCUUAUAC